rnacentral:rRNA from 1 species
UACGUAGGGUGCGAGCGUUAAUCGGAAUUACUGGGCGUAAAGCGUGCGCAGGCGGUUUUGUAAGCCAGGUGUGAAAUCCCCGGGCUCAACCUGGGAAUGGCAUUUGGGACUGCAAGGCUCGAGUGCGGCAGAGGAGACUGGAAUUCCUGGUGUAGCAGUGAAAUGCGUAGAUAUCAGGAGGAAUACCGAUGGCGAAGGCAGGUCUCUGGGCCAUUACUGACGCUGAGAAGCGAAAGCAUGGGGAGCGAACAGG